GUAGUAUUCCCUCCGUCCCAAAAUUCUUGUCUUACAUUUGUUUAGAUACAGAUGUAUCUAACACUAAAAUGUAACUAGAUACAUCCGUAUUUAGACAAAUUUAAGACAAGAAUUUUGGGACGGAGGGAGUAGAAA
rnacentral:pre_miRNA from 1 species